UACGAAGGGGGCUAGCGUUGUUCGGAAUCACUGGGCGUAAAGGGCGCGUAGGCGGCUUGAUAAGUCAGGGGUGAAAUCCUGGAGCUCAACUCCAGAACUGCCUUUGAUACUGGUAGCUCGAGUCCGGGAGAGGUGAGUGGAACUGCGAGUGUAGAGGUGAAAUUCGUAGAUAUUCGCAAGAACACCAGUGGCGAAGGCGGCUCACUGGCCCGGUACUGACGCUGAGGUGCGAAAGCGUGGGGAGCAAACAGG
rnacentral:rRNA from 1 species